rnacentral:tRNA from 1 species
GGAGCGGUGGCCGAGUGGCUGAAGGCGUACGCUUGGAAAGCGUAUAGACGGGGUAACUUGUCUCGAGGGUUCGAAUCCCUCCCUCUCCGCCA